rnacentral:rRNA from 1 species
UACGGAGGGUGCAAGCGUUAUCCGGAUUUACUGGGCGUAAAGGGCGCGUAGGCGGCCAGCACAAGUCAGUUGUGAAAUCUCCGGGCUUAACUCGGAAAGGUCAACUGAUACUGUGCGGCUAGAGUGCGGAAGGGGCAACUGGAAUUCUCGGUGUAGCGGUGAAAUGCGUAGAUAUCGAGAGGAACACCUGCGGCGAAGGCGGGUUGCUGGGCCGACACUGACGCUGAUGCGCGAAAGCCAGGGGAGCGAACGGG